GACGAACGCUGGCGGCGUGCUUAACACAUGCAAGUCGAACGGAAAGGCCCGGAGCUUGUGGGGUGCUCGAGUGGCGAACAGGUGAGUAAAACGUGAGUAACCUGCCCCUGACAUUGGGAUAACUUCAGGAAACUGGGGCUAAUACCGGGGAGGAGCUCCUGCUGCACGGUGGGGGAUGGAAAGUGUCGGCGGUUGUGGCUGGACUCGAGGCUUAUCAGCUGGUUGGUGGGGUAGUGGAUGACCAAGGCUUUGACGGGUAGCCGGCCUGAGAGGGUGACCGGGCACCUUGGUCCUGAGGUACGCCCCAGACGCCUACGUGAGGCAGCAGUGGGAAAUAUUACGCAAUGGGCGGACGCCUGAUGUAGCAACGCCGCGUGCGUGAUACUGUCCUUCGGGUUGAAAACCGAUUUCUACUGUGACGAAGCGUGCGUGACGGUAAUGGGUAAAGAAGCCCCGGCUAACUACGUG
rnacentral:rRNA from 1 species